rnacentral:misc_RNA from 1 species
AGCAGCCGCGGUAAUUCCAGCUCCAAUAGCGUAUAUUAAAGUUGUUGCAGUUAAAAAGCUCGUAGUUGAAUUUCGGGAUCAAUUUGCUGGUCGUGCCUCUGGUACGUACUGGUAUUAUUGGUUUCUCCCUUCUGACGAACCAUGAUGUCAUUAAUUUGAUGUCGUGGAGAAUCAGGACUGUUACUUUGAAAAAUUAGAGUGUUUAAAGCAGGCAUUAGCUUGAAUACAUUAGCAUGGAAUAAUGAAAUAGGACGUUUGAUCCUAUUUUGUUGGUUUCUAGGAUUGACGUAAUGAUUAAUAGGGAUAGUUGGGGGCAUUAGUAUUCAAUUGUCAGAGGUGAAAUUCUUGGAUUUAUUGAAGACUAACUACUGCGAAAGCAUUUGCCAAGGAUGUUUUCAUUAAUCAAGAACGAAAGUUAGGGGAUCGAAGACGAUCAGAUACCGUCGUAGUCUUAACCAUAAACUGUGCCGACUAGGGAUCGGAUGAUGUUAAUUUUAAUGACUCU